AACCAACUUUAGCCCGUUACAUUUCUUUCUGAUUCAUAGAUAUGCCCUCUUGUCGCUCUUUCCGCUCUGCCGGUGACUACCUUCCUGUCCACUGCUCGCACCCUUACUGCUAACUCACGCUUGCAGGACUUCUCACAGGCGGCUCUCUUCCUGGAACAGCCCACCUACCCCCAUCAGACUCUCCCCUAGUAUUCAGUUGUUUAAGAAGUCCCUCAAAACAUCUGUUCAGAAAUGCUUAUGGACUCCCAG